CCAGACUCCUACGGGAGGCAGCAGUGGGGGAUAUUGCACAAUGGGGGGAACCCUGAUGCAGCGACGCCGCGUGGGUGAAGAAGCGCCUCGGCGUGUAAAGCCCUGUCAGCAGGGAAGAAAAUGACGGUACCUGAAGAAGAAGCCCCGGCUAACUACGUGCCAGCAGCCGCGGUAAUACGUAGGGGGCAAGCGUUAUCCGGAUUCACUGGGUGUAAAGGGAGCGUAGACGGCGACGCAAGUCUGGAGUGAGAGCCCGGGGCCCAACCCCGGGACUGCUCUGGAAACUGCGUCGCUGGAGUACGGGAGGGGCAGGCGGAAUUCCUGGUGUAGCGGUGAAAUGCUUAGAUAUCACGAAGAACCCCGAUUGCGAAGGCAGCCUGCCGCAGCGUUACUGACGCUGAAGCUCGAAAGCGCGGGUAUCGAACAGGAUUAGAUACCCUUGUAUC
rnacentral:rRNA from 1 species